rnacentral:rRNA from 2 species
UAAAUUGAGAGUUUGAUCCUGGCUCAGGAUGAACGCUGGCGGCGUGCCUAAUACAUGCAAGUCGAACGAAACUUCUUUAUCACCGAGUGCUUGCACUCACCGAUAAAGAGUUGAGUGGCGAACGGGUGAGUAACACGUGGGCAACCUGCCCAAAAGAGGGGGAUAACACUUGGAAACAGGUGCUAAUACCGCAUAACCAUAGUUACCGCAUGGUAACUAUGUAAAAGGUGGCUAUGCUACCGCUUUUGGAUGGGCCCGCGGCGCAUUAGCUAGUUGGUGGGGUAAAGGCUUACCAAGGCAAUGAUGCGUAGCCGAACUGAGAGGUUGAUCGGCCACAUUGGGACUGAGACACGGCCCAAACUCCUACGGGAGGCAGCAGUAGGGAAUCUUCCACAAUGGGCGAAAGCCUGAUGGAGCAACGCCGCGUGGGUGAAGAAGGUCUUCGGAUCGUAAAACCCUGUUGUUAGAGAAGAAAGUGCGUGAGAGUAACUGUUCACGUUUCGACGGUAUCUAACCAGAAAGCCACGGCUAACUACGUGCCAGCAGCCGCGGUAAUACGUAGGUGGCAAGCGUUAUCCGGAUUUAUUGGGCGUAAAGGGAACGCAGGCGGUCUUUUAAGUCUGAUGUGAAAGCCUUCGGCUUAACCGGAGUAGUGCAUUGGAAACUGGGAGACUUGAGUGCAGAAGAGGAGAGUGGAACUCCAUGUGUAGCGGUGAAAUGCGUAGAUAUAUGGAAGAACACCAGUGGCGAAAGCGGCUCUCUGGUCUGUAACUGACGCUGAGGUUCGAAAGCGUGGGUAGCAAACAGGAUUAGAUACCCUGGUAGUCCACGCCGUAAACGAUGAAUGCUAAGUGUUGGAGGGUUUCCGCCCUUCAGUGCUGCAGCUAACGCAAUAAGCAUUCCGCCUGGGGAGUACGACCGCAAGGUUGAAACUCAAAGGAAUUGACGGGGGCCCGCACAAGCGGUGGAGCAUGUGGUUUAAUUCGAAGCAACGCGAAGAACCUUACCAGGUCUUGACAUCUUUUGCCAAUCCUAGAGAUAGGACUUUCCCUUCGGGGACAAAAUGACAGGUGGUGCAUGGUUGUCGUCAGCUCGUGUCGUGAGAUGUUGGGUUAAGUCCCGCAACGAGCGCAACCCUUAUUGUUAGUUGCCAGCAUUAAGUUGGGCACUCUAGCAAGACUGCCGGUGACAAACCGGAGGAAGGUGGGGAUGACGUCAAAUCAUCAUGCCCCUUAUGACCUGGGCUACACACGUGCUACAAUGGACGGUACAACGAGUCGCAAGACCGCGAGGUUUAGCAAAUCUCUUAAAGCCGUUCUCAGUUCGGAUUGUAGGCUGCAACUCGCCUACAUGAAGUCGGAAUCGCUAGUAAUCGCGGAUCAGCAUGCCGCGGUGAAUACGUUCCCGGGCCUUGUACACACCGCCCGUCACACCAUGAGAGUUUGUAACACCCAAAGCCGGUGGGGUAACCUUUUGGAGCUAGCCGUCUAAGGUGGGACAGAUGAUUAGGGUGAAGUCGUAACAAGGUAGCCGUAGGAGAACCUGCGGCUGGAUCACCUCCUUUCUAAGGA